rnacentral:rRNA from 1 species
GGAGGCAGCAGUGAGGAAUAUUGGGCAAUGGAGGCAACUCUGAACCAGCCAUGCCGCGUGCAGGAAGAAGGCCUUACGGGUUGUAAACUGCUUUUAUUUGGGAAGAAACCUUUCUACGAGUAGAGAGCUGACGGUACCAAACGAAUAAGGACCGGCUAACUCCGUGCCAGCAGCCGCGGUAAUACGGAGGGUCCAAGCGUUAUCCGGAAUCAUUGGGUUUAAAGGGUUCGCAGGCGGUUUAAUAAGUCAGUGGUGAAAUCUUCCGGCUCAACCGGGAAACUGCCAUUGAUACUGAUAAACUUGAAUACAGUUGGAGUAGGCGGAAUGUGUAGUGUAGCGGUGAAAUGCUUAGAUAUUACACAGAACACCGAUAGCGAAGGCAGCUUACUAAACUGAGAUUGACGCUCAUGAAAGAAAGCGUGGGGAGCGAACAGGAUUAGAUACCAAGGUAGUCCACGCCUUAAA